rnacentral:rRNA from 1 species
UACGAAGGGGGCUAGCGUUGCUCGGAAUCACUGGGCGUAAAGCGCACGUAGGCGGCUUUUUAAGUCAGGGGUGAAAUCCUGGAGCUCAACUCCAGAACUGCCUUUGAUACUGGGAAGCUUGAGUCCGGGAGAGGUGAGUGGAACUCCGAGUGUAGAGGUGAAAUUCGUAGAUAUUCGGAAGAACACCAGUGGCGAAGGCGGCUCACUGGCCCGGUACUGACGCUGAGGUGCGAAAGCGUGGGGAGCGAACCGG